rnacentral:rRNA from 1 species
UUAGUGGCAGACGGGUGAGUAACGCGUGGGAACCUACCUUUAGGUACGGAACAACAGUUGGAAACGACUGCUAAUACCGUAUGUGCCCUAUGGGGGAAAGAUUUAUCGCCUAAGGAUGGGCCCGCGUUGGAUUAGCUAGUUGGUGGGGUAAAGGCCUACCAAGGCGACGAUCCAUAGCUGGUCUGAGAGGAUGAUCAGCCACACCGGAACUGAGACACGGUCCGGACUCCUACGGGAGGCAGCAGUGGGGAAUAUUGCACAAUGGGCGCAAGCCUGAUGCAGCCAUGCCGCGUGAAUGAUGAAGGCCUUAGGGUUGUAAAAUUCUUUCGCCAAGGAUGAUAAUGACAGUACUUGGUAAAGAAGCCCCGGCUAACUUCGUGCCAGCAGCCGCGGUAAUACGAAGGGGGCUAGCGUUGUUCGGAAUUACUGGGCGUAAAGCGCACGUAGGCGGAUUUUUAAGUCAGAUGUGAAAUCCCAAGGCUCAACCUUGGAACUGCAUUUGAAACUGGGAAUCUAGAGAUCAGGAGAGGUUAGUGGAAUACCGAGUGUAGAGGUGAAAUUCGUAGAUAUUCGGUGGAACACCAGUGGCGAAGGCGACUAACUGGACUGAUACUGACGCUGAGGUGCGAAAGUGUGGGGAGCAA